GACAGAGGUGGCAACAGUUUGUUCGGAAUUACUGGGCGUAAAAGCGAGUGUAGGCGGUUUGGUAAGUCGGAUGUGAAAGCCCCGGGCUCAACCCGGGAAGUGCACUCGAUACUGCCAAGCUAGAGUGUCGGAGAGGUUGGUGGAAUUCUCGGUGUAGAGGUGAAAUUCGUAGAUAUCAGGAGGAACACCUGUGGUGUAGACAGCUUACUGGACCACGACUGACGCUGAGACACGAAAGCGUGGGUAGCAAACAGG
rnacentral:rRNA from 1 species